UUUUUUUUUUUUUAGCAUCCCAGUGCCCGGUUAAAAUUCUAUCGGAAGCAAAAUGGAUAUUUGAAGACAAACAACAGUCUCCACCAAAAAAGGAGGGAGGCAGAACUGGAGGGAGGAAAUUGAAAAGGAAUAAACAACUCCAGAGAAGUUAAUAUGCACCUGCUCAUGAAUGACUGGAAAAUAGUGUAAAUGUCAGCUUGACGGCUGCAGAAACUUGGUGCUGGGGAAGGCAACAGCUGACAGUGAUGAUUAGACACCAUGAAUUAAUAGUAGGAAGUCCAUAUGGUGAUACAGACAGAGAAUCUUCAUUCAGUUCAGAGAGUCUUAAUCAGCUCUGUCACUUAAUUGUUACAUGACUGUAUUCGCUAUACUAAGUGAUUGCUCUGACCUGUUUUCUUAGCUUUAAAAUGAACAACAUCAUAAUAAUUAAAUUGCUUGAAGUUGGGAUCUGAAACACA